GCCGAAAGUGGCUUUUUCUGAGCCAGCUCCUGAGGAGUCAGAAACACCCACACUUGGGAGAUAGGACACCUUGAUUCUGGUUGAAUCCUUGCUGCAGAGCCAGAAAAAUUACAGAUAAAAUCCCUGGAGAUUAUAUAUGAAACAACCACAAGAAGACAGAAAGGUGAAAAGAAAAAGGCAGACAAGAUAGAGACCUCAGGACCAAGGAAUGGCAUUGUGCCAAGAGGAAAUAGUCUCCAAUCAAUAACUUAAACUCCCACCUCAAGAAACAAGAAAAAGAAGAGCAAAAUAAAUCCAAAGCAAGCAUAAGGAUGGAAAUAAUAAAGAUGGACUCUCGCUCCUUCACCCAGGCUGGAGUGCAGUGGCGUGAUCUUGGCUCACUGCGGGCUCUGCCCCCCAGGGUUCACGCCAUUCUCCUGCAUCAGCACCCCGCGUAGCUUGGACUACAGCCUGGGACCAGGACACCACACGCUCAAUGGAUGUUGUAAGGAAUUACAGGUGAUGUUUGUGUCUUGUGAGUAUGGAUGUGGAGAUCAUACCCUUCAGUUAAGAAUAAUUCUAAUUCUACUAUCCACUAGUCUUUUUCAUAAAAUGGAGUUGCAAAGCCUCCCAAAGCUGUCUCCUGUUAGUGGUCAUUAUCCUUAUUGCAUUCUGUUUUUUCCACUAUUUAAAUGAAGACAUACUGCCCGGCAUCUCCCCCAGGCACAAGUUCUACUAGUAAUGACAAUUUUUUCAUUAAUACCAAUUGUAUACAUAAUCUUAUUGAGUUUCCACAAUAACCUAGAGAGAAAGAAACUGUGAUUACCUUUAGGUUUUAUAUGAGGAAACUGAGACUAUCGUGCCUUUGGAUUGAUCAGAGGCUGAAUUUAAAGAUAAGUGAACAUUGUUGGACAAACAAAAGACCUCCCAGCUCUCAAAACAAUAUCUACUGGAGGUAGGUGGAAGAGAAGGUGGGUAGAAUUAGGGUUUUCAAUGUGGACAAUAAUCAAGUACAAAGGAGACAGUUAUCUAUCCAGAUGGUUUAGACUAAUGAUUCCCAACAUGCUUCAUGUUGUGACAUGCUAAUUUUGUCUAAUUUUAUUAAUUCCCUGAAGCAAUAUGUGGGUUCUUAAAAGUAAUUAAAGUAGAAUUAAAUGUUAUGUUAAUUAAACAUGGCUUUAAAUGAAUUUGAGAUGAUGUGAAUUGGUUUUGCCCCUUGGGAUAACUGCAAAGUGCCUAUCCUGAUUUUGUGACAACUCAGAGUAUUAGGAACUGAAAUCUUCAGAAACUUGAAAGAGGUGACUGAGCCAGAAUAUCUAUCAGGUCCCUGAGUUUGCAUCUUAGAAGUUUUGUCCUAGUUGUCAUUUGGUACCUGUGGGAGGUAAUUCCAGUGUUAUGGUAAAGUUCAUUCUAGAGAUGAAUAAUCCUCCUCAGAUUUACCUUUCUUUUUAUCUUUUUCUUUUGGGCUGCUCCUUCUCCUUCAUGCUAUCACUAUAGUAAGGCAACUGGACCGCCAUGCUUUUUGGAUUCACUCCCCAUUUACCUCUCUGUCCUGCUUAGAUUUCUCCCACUUUCGGUUCCCAUGGCCAGGGUCCUGUCUAACCUAUUUUCCAAGCAUCAAAAGUGUCUUUACAAAUCUGUUCUGCAACUCCCACUACUGAUGACUUCUGUGAUAUUCCUCCUUUGGUCAAGUUGGUCUUCUUUCCUCCUCCUCUGUGACUUGGAAGCCUUUAGUUCCCACUAUACCAUAUCCAUAAGGAUUCAUUAUUCUUAACAUUGUCAGUUGGCCCUCUGCUCCAGAUCAUGCACAUGUCCUUCUACCCCUCACCUCCCACCUGACUGCUCUCAGCCUGUGCUAUAGACUCAGGGUGUUUGCCUGAUUCCCCUUGACCCCCAUCCUUGGGGUAGACACUUACUGGGCUGAGAUAGGCUGGUUUCAGUGCCCGUGCCAAGGUAGUCUGCAUGUUCCACUGCAUAAUCUGAGGACAAAUGUCUGGUAAAAUCUUUCAGAAUUCCAGUCAUUUCUCCUGUCCGCCUGUUCAAACUGAAGUUUCAUUUAAAGCCUUUGUGUUUACGAGAGGUUUGAUCAUAGAAGGCAAAUCUUCCCAGUAAUGUCAUUUAGCCUAUGUUUUUAUUUCUGCAUUUAAUAAAAUGCAGUCAAAUUCCAAAUUGUGUAUUUCACUCUUGCUUGAGCAUAUUGAUAGAAGCUGUUGUCAGCUAUGUGUUCUUCCUAUCAAUCAGUCUUUUCAAAGUUCUUUGUUAACAAUUAGUCAUCAGGGUUCAUCCAUACAUUGUUGUAUUACACAAUCAAUCAUUAAACUCAAGGGGAAAAAUGCUUAUUGAUGUGCAUAUUUUUCCCGAUAUAUUUUAAGUGAAAAGAGCAGGGUAAAAAACCGUAUUACAUUAUUAUUCUAUUACAAACACAUUUACACACACACACACACACACACACCCCCCAUGAAUAUAUUUUAAAUGGAAGAUUAAAAGGACACCAAAGUGCUAACAGUGAUUGUCUCUAGGUGCCAAGAUUGAUCAAUUUAUAUGUUCCCCUUCCUUCUCCAUAUUUUCCAAUUUCUCAAUAAUGAGUGUGUAAUUCUUUUAUAGUCAGGAAAAAGUAAUUUUAGAUAAUUCAAUUAGUUAUCAAGGUCAACCAGCAUGUGUGGAAAAGGUGACAAUUCUUACUGAAGAGAAAUUAACACCUUUAUUGUUAUGAAUUGAGGUUACUUUUUAAAGUAGGAACCUAUCUCUAAAAUUAAAAUGGAAGUGGAAACUUACUGAGUUUGAAAGAAUCAUUUUACAUAUCACUUUUCAAGUAAAACCAAUUUCUAUUUUGCUUUUUCUUCAAGUGCUUAAACAUUUUCUCUUCUGGGGCCCUUAUUUUAUGCUCCCCAAGAGAAAGGGCCAUGUCUCCUAUUUCCUUUGGCAUCUCCCACCCCCUCCCCACUCUCUUUCCUGUACUGCUAUACACCCAAGAAUAAGUCAGUGCACACGAUGUGCACGCAGAAAAUGUUUGUUAAUGGACUUGGUUAUUUCCGUUUUCUACUAAAUCUCAUCCUAGUCAUGUUUUCAGAAUCAUAGAACAUGGCUCCUUACUCCUCAGAAGCCUGGUAUCUCUCCCUACUGCUCUUGCUUAGUGCCCUGGGUCCCAGAACUCCACCCUUAGAUCUUCACUCUUGCAGUGUGAGGUAGACCCCAGCCAGUUCCGAGCUCCAGGGCCCUUGCAAGGAUGCCAGGUUUACGCCAGCCAUUUUCCCUGACUCAUGGGGGCUUGGCCAGCAGGUCAGUCACUACCCAGGAGGCCAGUCACUACCCAGUCUCGAACAUUCCUCCCUGAAUCAGAUGCUGCUGACUGGAUACCUCCAAGAAUCCCAGUGGGUUGACAGAAGUGUCAGCUUUAGGCCAAAGGAGUCUCUGGGAUGUCCUUGCCUUGGACAGAAGCUGGGGACCACACAGCCAGCUGACUCUGCUGCCCUGCCUUUGGGGUUAUAGCAUCUUGCCACUGGGCCCCCCAAACUAUCCUUUCCCUCAAUACCUGCUCAUUUGCUCAGGUCCCCGGAUCCAGCCUAGGGACUGUCUCGGCAGGGUCCUUCUAUCAGAGAGCCCAGGACCAGAUGCUGCUCUGAGCACCACCACCCAGAGCAGCACCAGGGAGGGAUGCCCAGCCCAGAAUAGCUGGAGCAGCCCCCCUGCCCCCACCCCCUGCCGACCAGGGAAGCUGACUGAGCUCACCCUGAGUGUGCUGGGGGGCAGAGGAGACCAUGCAGAUGUGCUGAGAGCUCCCUGGAAAGCAAGGCUCAGCUUCUUCUGCUACUGUCACCAGCAGAUGGAGAGAGGGGUCAGUAUUUAUCCUCUUGUAACACCUGAGGGGACAGAGUUGCUGACAUGUCUCAUAGAGUCCUUGUCCCCCACCUCCCUCACCCAUUGCCCACACUCCCUCAUCCUCUCACUUCAAGAGGCCUUGUUACCCCCCUAAAGGCCUGGAUUAGGCUCCACUGGUUAAAAAUCUUGUUCUAACUCCAAGUCCCCUAGAAUGUCCAUACCUUUAAGGGCUGGCACUGGUGCAGCAGGACUGAGGUAGAGACCCCAGAGAUUCACUUACAUAGCUGUUUCCAGUAGCCAAAUGACCAGGGACCACUAUUUAUGAGACAAUAGGAUAUCCCUUUCCUGAGAACAUGUUGGCCAAGCAGCAGAAGUGGGUGUGUUGUCCCUGAGGCUGAAUUUGGUGGUCUUGAGACCUAGCAUAGUGAGGCCAAACACUGACUUGGAUGGGUGCUGAGCCUGUGAAGGAAAAAACUCUACCAGAGAAACCUGACUGGGUUCGCUUUGUUUGUACAGAUCUAGUGGAGUUCCCCUUAAGCCUGAGAGGCCACUGGAGCCUGAGAGGCCACUGGAGACCAAGUCUGGUUAUACGCUGUAGAAGCUGGGUAAAUACCAUUUGGAGCACAGGUCUGCAGCAGAUCCAGAGUAAAUAAAACCUGAUACCUGCAUUGGACAUCUAAAAAAUGUUGAAUCUGGCAAGCUAUAAAUGAUAACAUGAAACAGUUAUUGAGUGUGUGCGAUGUCUGGAUACUAUUCUAACCAAUGUGAAUGCAUCAUCGCAUUUAAACCUCGCAGCAAAUUUAAGAAGAAAAAAAUCUUCCAUGUCCUUGAGCCAGUUACCAGAGAAGAGCAGAAAUCCAGGGAGGACAAGGGAUUGACCUGGGUAGUAUUGAGCUGGAAGGUAAAAGCAAUGAACAAAAAGAGGUUCAGAUUCCUUAUUUUGGAGCGACAGUGUCAACAAGAAACAUCUGCCAAACCACAAGGACCAUGUAGAAGCUGGUGUCCCAGGAGAUUAUUGCAGAAACCCUCAUGCUCCUAAACGACCAUAAGAAACUGAGCUCAAAUUUGAAGGCAUCACUUGUAUCCUGUGAAAGAGAAACCAAAGAAUGACCAAACCCCUCAGAAAUUAUGUAGCUCCUGGCUGAUCGUCACCUGCUGAUUCCUCUAACCAUGCUUGGGGCAAAGGUAAUGCAGCUGUAAAACUGACUGUGAAUUCUACAAGGACUUAUUGAGCAGACAUGUCUGAGCAAAGGACCAGAUUGCACAAUGGUUGGCAUCAGGUGCCACUGGGGCUAAGUGCAUGGUCACUGUUCCUCUCUUCUAUAGUGAUAGAUUAUCUCUGAUGCUGGCUUGCUGCCUCGAACAAAUGCCCUGAGUGAAGUGCCAGAUAAGAGAAGGGAUGAGUCCACCUCCAUUUAUAAAAUCUAAACUAACUCCGAGCCCCUAUGGCUCACUGGACAGCCAUCGGUAAGUGGUGUCUAGAAGGGAUUGCUGUAUUUGGCUAUAGGUAGACGAGGGGACAUUUGAGUCUCUGACCAUUGGUUAAAAGGGCAAUCUUGGAAACAACAGACACUGGGGACUCCAAAUGUGGAAAGGAAAGGAUUGGAGCAAAGGUUGAAAAACUACCUAUUGCAUACGAGGUUCACUAACUACAUGAUGGAUUCAACUGAAGCCCAAACCUCAGUGUUACGCAAUAUACCCAUAUAACAAAUCUGCAUAUGUACCCCCAAAUCUAAAAUAAUAAAAAAAGAAAAGAAAGCCAUUGCUGUUUCCAUUCACCAUAAGACACAGGUUCUUUACUUGGCAGUAAAAUAACCAAUUCUGGAGCUAUAAGAAUCUCUUUGAAUCCUGGAUCGGGAGAUCACUGGCUCUGUAACCUAGGACUUAACCUAUCUAAACUUGAAUUUACAAAUCUGUAAGGGAGGGGCACUAGUAGAACGUAUGUCACUGGACAAUUGUGAAGAUUGAAUAAAGUAUUGUAAGUAAAGCACUUGGCACAUGUUAGAUGCUCACUGAUUCCUACUUUCUCCAUUCCUUCAUGACCACUCCCAUUUACUACUUUUUUUCUCCCUAUUUUACCAAAUGGAAGCAGAGGUAUUAUGUGUCCACAUUAUUAUUAUUUUAGAUGGACAGAAGUGAACCUUUGACAGACUAGCUGAAGUAUACUGAAGUAUAAUUUCCAUACUCCACUCCCUAUUACACACACGCGCGCGCGCGCACACACACACACACACACACACACACACAGAGAGAGAGAGAGAGAGAGACUUUGCUCAGAAUGGAUGAAAGAAGGGUCUUUCACUUGUGAUGGUAAUUCACUCAUUUUUGCUCUACCCAAACUGUGAGUGUUAACUUCCGCUGCCGCUGCAGCUGCUCCUGCUGCUACUCAACACAGCACCCCACCCAGGGGAACAUUCAGCAACUUACACGAUUAAAUGGAAAGACUCAGGGAGAAAAUUUGGGGCUGAAUGAAGGUUAUGGAAAGAGAACUGUUUUCAGAGACAAAGACAUGAGUUCUAGUCCUGGCACUAAUUAAUUUGUAUUGUCAUUCAGCUAUAGAAAAGCCACUUAACCUCUU
rnacentral:lncRNA from 1 species